rnacentral:rRNA from 1 species
GACGAACGCUGGCGGCGUGCUUAACACAUGCAAGUCGAGCGGUAAGGCCCUUUCGGGGGUACGACGAGCGGCGAACGGGUGAGUAACACGUGGGUGACCUGCCCUCAGCUCUGGGAUAAGCCCGGGAACGUAGGGUCUAAUACCGGAUAUGACUUCAUGACGCAUGUUGUGGAGUGGAAAGCCUUGUGCGGCUGAGGAUGGGCCCGCGGCCUAUCAGCUUGUG